rnacentral:rRNA from 1 species
UUUUAUGGAGAGUUUGAUCCUGGCUCAGAGUGAACGCUGGCGGCGUGCCUAAUACAUGCAAGUCGAACGAUGAAGCUUCUAGCUUGCUAGAAGUGGAUUAGUGGCGCACGGGUGAGUAAGGUAUAGUUAAUCUGCCCUACACAAGAGGACAACAGUUGGAAACGACUGCUAAUACUCUAUACUCCUGCUUAACACAAGUUGAGUAGGGAAAGUUUUUCGGUGUAGGAUGAGACUAUAUAGUAUCAGCUAGUUGGUAAGGUAAUGGCUUACCAAGGCUAUGACGCUUAACUGGUCUGAGAGGAUGAUCAGUCACAC